AGCGAACGCUGGCGGCAGGCCUAACACAUGCAAGUCGAACGAACCUUUCGGGGUUAGUGGCGGACGGGUGAGUAACACGUGGGAACGUGCCUUUAGGUUCGGAAUAACUCAGUGAAACUUGUGCUAAUACCGAAUGUGCCCUUCGGGGGAAAGAUUAAUCGCCUUUAGAGCGGCCCGCGUCUGAUUAGCUAGUUGGUUGAGGUAAUGGCUCACCAAGGCGACGAUCAGUAGCUGGUCUGAGAGGAUGAUCAGCCACAUUGGGACUGAGACACGGCCCAAACUCCUACGGGAAGCAGCAGUGGGGAAUCUUGCGCAAUGGGCGAAAGCCUGACGCAGCCAUGCCGCGUGAAUGAUGAAGGUCUUAGGAUUGUAAAAUUCUUUCACCGGGGACGAUAAUGACGGUACCCGGAGAAGAAGCCCCGGCUAACUUCGUG
rnacentral:rRNA from 1 species